rnacentral:rRNA from 1 species
AUAGUUUGAUGGCGACCGGCAAACGGGUGCGGAACACGUACACAACCUUCCUUUAAGUGGGGAAUAGCCCAGAGAAAUUUGGAUUAAUACCCCGUAACACAACGAAGUGGCAUCACUUUGUUGUUAUAGUUUCGGCGCUUAAUGAUGGGUGUGCGUAUGAUUAGAUAGUUGGCGAGGUAACGGCUCACCAAGUCUACGAUCAUUAGCUGAUGUGAGAGCAUGAUCAGCCACACGGGCACUAAGACACGGGCCCGACUCCUACGGGAGGCAGCAGUAAGGAAUAUUGGUCAAUGGACGCAAGUCUGAACCAGCCAUGCCGCGUGAAGGAUUAAGGUCCUCUGGAUUGUAAACUUCUUUUAUAUGGGACGAAAAAAGGUCUUUCUAGACCCCUUGACGGUACCAUAUGAAUAAGCACCGGCUAACUCCGUGCCAGCAGCCGCGGUAAUACGGAGGGUGCAAGCGUUAUCCGGAUUCACUGGGUUUAAAGGGUGCGUAGGCGGGU